GUGAGGAAUAUUGCGCAAUGGAGGCAACUCUGACGCAGCCAUGCCGCGUGCAGGAAGAAGGCGCUACGCGUUGUAAACUGCUUUUAACCGGGAAGAAACCCCAGGACGUGUCCUGGGUUGACGGUACCGGAGGAAUAAGCACCGGCUAACUUCGUGCCAGCAGCCGCGGUAAUACGAAGGGUGCAAGCGUUAUCCGGAUUCAUUGGGUUUAAAGGGUGCGUAGGCGGAGCGUUGAGUCAGUGGUGAAAUCCUGCAGCUUAACUGUAGACUUGCCAUUGAUACUGGCGCUCUUGAGUGCGCUUGAAGUGGGCGGAAUGUGCCGUGUAGCGGUGAAAUGCUUAGAUAUGGCACAGAACACCAAUUGCGAAGGCAGCUCACUAAGGCGAUACUGACGCUGAGGCACGAAAGCGUGGGGAUCGAACAGGAUUAGAUACCCCGGUAGUCC
rnacentral:rRNA from 1 species